GUGUUUCCUAACUGCGGAUGUGUUUCACAGACAUGGCAUAAUAAAGGCAUAUUUAUGUAUCUUUAUUGUGAUAGUAAAACAUGAAGUUGGUGGUAAUAUUUUUUGUCUCUUAUAGUGGAAAAUCUUACUUGAGUUUGCAGUAGUUGUGACGCCACUAAUGUGUGAUUAUUUGGUGACAGAUGACAGGGGUUAAGGAAAACUUGGUGGAGAAGUUGACUUGUAUUGUGUGUCAGGAGGCUUUCGACCCAAAGGUGCACCAGCCUGUGGCCCUGCCUGGUUGUGGCCACACCUUCUGUAGACCAUGUGUUGAGAAGCUCCAGCGCCGCUCCUACGUCCUACCAUGUCCUACCUGCAGGCAUCCAUAUAAGGGUGAGGAGGCAGCCCAUCUUCCUACAAACUACCUGGUGCUGAACCUCCUCCCAAGUGUUCUACAGGUUAGUACUAAAGAAGAUAAAUUGGAGCAAAUGGAAACAACCGAAAACUUUACCAACAAGCUGAAGGAAAAAUUCGACCCAGGCCCCAGCAAGCAGGAGAACAAACCUCAAGAAGAUGCUGUGAUAAAUGAUGAGAAUAUCGAGGGCAUGAAGAAAGAAAUUAAUAUAAACAAGAAGAACUUAGAACUAGACGAUUCAGAUAUGGACCAAGAUGAUGAGGUUUUGGUGAGGAGGGACCAAGGUGGUUUACACAAGAUGACACACAACACACAAGGCAGCACUCCUGAAAAUGGUCCUCUAACAUUUUGUGAAACACCGAGUGAAAGAGGAAUAACGAACCAUACUGUGUGGCACAAGGACUGGAGGUUUUGGUUGCUGUUCGUGGUGUUUGUGGUCAUUAUGGCAGCUGUGGGGUGUGGCGUGGCAUUAGGAUGCUCCAUGCAUGUUGUAAAUCAGUUAGGGUUCACAUCAAGUGGAAUCACAAGAAACAGCUACGCGUCUAAGUUGAUGUCAUCCACUGCCCGCACCAACAAAGGCGUCAUCCCUUCAGAGAGUUGGGUGGCAUGGUUGCAGAAUGCUGGCAACAAAGGUUUCCAGAGUAAACAUCAGGCCAUCAUUGGUGUGUUGGUGGCACUGGCCUUUGCUGUAGUUGGAACAAUGCUGUUCUGGAUAAUGGUUAUCAUAUGUCUCCUAAUACAGCGCCGUAGACACAGAAAAAAUGAGCAUUAUUUAUUGUCCAAUCGUCGUCUGCCACUCUUAUCAACAUGAAACUGAAGGAACUGUAGACCAGCAAACAAGAGAAACCGUGAAAAACAAUGCACAUGAUCAUAGAAAAAUUGGAUUAAAAUGCAGAGAUUCUUGUAAUGAUAUCUCAAAAUUGAUUAACAGAUGAAAGUGAAUGAUGUCAAAACAGGUAACAAGGAAGUUUCAGAAGAAGGCAAUACAUGUACCCGUGAAGAAAAAUAUGCCCUGCCACCACCUGACAUGAAGAUAUUGAUAAAUGUACAAGAUUUAGUUCAGUGGAGAUGAAAUAAGAUGAACCAUCCAUCACCAGUAUAUCAAGAUUCAAGAUCAUAGAAUGUCCCCAGGAAUGCAAUUUGUUUAUAACCCAGAGACUGCCUGUAUACACUCCAUCUACUGCACAAGUGAACUAGAUUACAGUACUGUAUAUGGUGAUGAUGUCAGCCCAUUAAUGAAAUUGCUCUAUCUUUAUGUAGUACAGAGUCUAUUUUGUAUUACUGUACAGUGUUAGAUAAAUGAAAACAGAUACUGUACUGAUGAAGAAUGAAAAUGUAUAAUGAAGUACAGUAAUACUAUACUGUGCAGAGUUAACGGCAUCAUACCAUAUCAGUGGAGGCUUCUUUCUUUGGUGAUUUUCUGGAAUUUUAGGUUUAAUAGAUUUAGUUUCCCAGUGUAGUCCAUUGUAUUCACUAGUCGGGAAAUAUUUUAUAACUAUUAAGUAGAUGGUAACUGAGGCUAUUUCUCACUCCUAAUGCUGAGGGUAAUCUUCCCGGGAGAUGUUCUGUGAAGUGUGUGAUGAUAGAUUGUACUGUAUUAGUGAAUGGCUCACCUGAAGAUUAGUCCUCUCCCCUUAAUUAAUUUUACCUUGAUUAACCACACAAAUCCUAACUUAUACCCCAAAGUAGCAUUAGAGUAGUUAAUCUUAAAAAUAACCUGUGGGGGGUGGGGGGCAAUCCUCAGGUGAUGCUAGAAAAAUUAACAACACUGUCCUAAUAUAUAUAAACAUGUACCACACUCAGAUGCCAAAUAAUAUAGUACUUUAAGUUUGGCUAAUUAUGUCUUCUUUAUUAUUUACAACCUGGAUCACAACAUUGAGUUGUACUUAAGUUUAUUCCACAUUAGAUGGAGAAGGAGAGAGCUGUCUUUGUAAGAUUCUUGUGAUGUAUGGAUAUCACUGAAGGGUCAAUGAGAAUAUUACAUUGUGUGGGUCUUAUUGUACCUUAUGAUCUUUAUAACUUUUACUGUACUUAAUUUGUUCAUUUAGACUCAAAAGAUAUAUUUACUGUAUCUCAUUUAGUGAAUUAAUAAUUAUGCAUGUUUGUGUAUUUAAUGUUGUUUGGUUGGUUGUGUUUGUCAAUUUUAGAUUAUAAGUUUGGUAAUGAAAAGGAAGACUCUACUUCCUCAUGACUAAGAAGGGAUUUACUCUUGCUUAAGGUCAAUAAGGGUACAAAACAUAUAUUAUUGCUGUGUAGUACAGUACAAGGGGUCUUUGUUAUAAGAGUAUUCACUAUCUGCAGUUUCGCAGUUAAGUGGUCAACUUUUUGUGACCAUAUACGUAUAAAGUCCCCUCAUUUAAGCUGAUUUCACUCAAAAACUCGGGAAAUGGCAGAUAAAAUCUAUGGAUUCUUAGCUGAAGCAUUUGAAAUUUUAUCCUCUUGCUGGCAUCAUGCAUGCACGUGUCCCCAUGACAGUUUUCUGCUUUGUUUCAUCCAGACCAGUACUUUGUUAUAUUUACUCCUGCCUUUGUUGUGCAUUUUCAUACAUUUUGCGGUGAAAUAUUUUAUUAUUUUUGUAGCCGUGAGUUCCCAACCCAAACAGGGUGGUGCAACACUCAAAAGGAAGUGCACUAGCUAUAAUAUAGAUGUAAAAUUAGAAGUGAUUUGGCUAAAGAAGAGUGGAAGUGGACAAUCCACCUAGUCCUGUCUCUCUUUCAUCCUCCGACUAAUCCUCCUCUCCCAACACCCACCUCCAUCAGUCCAAUCAAGCCAAGCAUCUCUACCUUUGAAACUAAGUUAAUAAAAAUAUUUUAUUAUGUUAAAAUUAUUUAUUUUUAAAACAUUAGUAUUUAGUCUCAAUAAACCAUUGAAGAGAGUGUCCACCAGCUGCUGCCGACCACCGAGUCACUGGCACGACCUACUUUGCCUCAACACACCGACCCCAAUGAACUUUAAGGAUGUUAAAUAACUUAAAAAGUUAAAUAAUUUCUUAAGAUAAUGUGCUACCAAAUGUUUCUAAGGCAAAUGAUUGUUAAAAGAUAUCAUAUAAAAAUUUCUUGAGUGUCGUGUACAAUGUCAUGGUCCCGAUUUGACCUAUUUCCAUUAUUUUUUUAUGGGACUAAUUCCCUGCUAUAAGCGGAUUCAUUACCAGCGGCAUUUUUCCGGUCUCAAUUAACCGCGGACACCCUUCCCUCCACCCAGAAAAGUUUUCUACAGCCAUAAAGAAUUAGAACAGUCUAACCUUACCCUAUCAAAUAAUUUGAAUUAGAUUAGAAUUGAUAAAUACCCCCGGUACAUAAUCAAUGAAACUAAACCAAGAGAAUGAGUGAUGUUCUGUAUUUAACCGACCAAUGAAUAUUAUGUAGUGAGAAGUGAUCCGCUAGUCUCGGUCGCAAGUAUAAUGUAGUGGUGUUAUAUUUAGCCUUGCUGUACUAUAGCCACAAAUUCCUACAUCUAUUUUUGCAGCUUUAUUACUGGUUAGUCUCCCAGCCUAAAUAAAGGAUUAUAAUGGUAAUAAAUGUAUGAUUAACAUUUUAUAAGCACUGUUUUUAUACCUACCCUGUCUAUGUACACUAUACCUGCACUGUUUAUGUCAUGGUGAUCAAUGUGAAUUUGAACGACUAAGUUUACUUAACAUUUAACUGUUUAUCUCCUAAAUAUUUAUAUAUCUAUUUAUAUCUGUCUGUCUAUCUAAUUCUGUGCUACUUAUUUAUCUGUCUGUCUAUAUAAUUAUUUAUUUAACUAUAUAUUUUGACUUAUUUAUCCAUCUACCUAUCUAUCUAUCUCUAUCUUAACAUUUUCAUCUCAGUGUUAUGGAACAGGAGUUUUGCUUUACUUAUAAACUCUCUAGGUUUCCUUCUUAGUAAAUAAGUGUUUUAGUGUCUUGUUGAAUAUUGUAAUUACUAAUUGGUUUUACAAGCCCACAUCAUUCACUCCAUUGUAAAUCAAGUAAUAAUUAGUAAACAAAGAGAUACAAUUACAAGAGGUUAUAGUUUCAAGUUUGCUGAUUUGUCAUGCAUAGUAAAUACUCUAUAAGGAAGAGUGGUAGACCCAUGGCACAGUGUUAGAUAUAUGUAGCUGUGAAGACAAGAGACACUGUUAAGCUUCAAUUUAUCCCUCAAUAGACUGUACAGUGUUAAGAACAUUGGAGGGGAUUGUAUAUAAGUCAAUAACCACCUAUAGUUACUGUGGACAUUAGGUUAAAAGUCUAUAUGUUAUAAGGAGUUUAGUUAAUCUGUGCAAAACUGUGAUCCUCUACAAAUGACACGAAGUUAUUUACUCAAAAUUUAACCAAGUGCUGUGAUUAAAUUUUUUUGCAGUAAAGACAUAAUCAUACUGAUAUUCCUUGACUGCUGUGUACUGUAUUACCUUUAGUAAGACAGGUAUAUAUGGUCCUAGAGCAGUAUAUAUUAGUGUAUGAAUAUUUUUUAAUGAAUAUACUGUACCUUACUUAUUUUGUCACUUGAUUGUACAUUAUUUACUUUUUGUAUGUCUGUGCCUUAAUACAGUACUGUACCUAGAAGCUAACAUCAAUAAAACUUCUAUAUCAA
rnacentral:misc_RNA from 1 species